GACGAACGCUGGCGGCGUGCUUAACACAUGCAAGUCGAACGGAAAGGCCCUGCUUUUGUGGGGUGCUCGAGUGGCGAACGGGUGAGUAACACGUGAGUAGCCUGCCCUUGACUUUGGGAUAACUUCAGGAAACUGGGGCUAAUACCGGAUAGGAGCUCCUGCUGCAUGGUGGGGGUUGGAAAGUUUCGGCGGUUGGGGAUGGACUCGCGGCUUAUCAGCUUGUUGGUGGGGUAGUGGCUUACCAAGGCUUUGACGGGUAGCCGGCCUGAGAGGGUGACCGGCCACAUGGGGACUGAGAUACGGCCCAGAAUCCUACGGGAGGCAGCAGUGGGGAAUAUUGCACAAUGGGCGGAAGCCUGAUGCAGCAACCCCGCGUGCGGGAUGACGGCCUUCGGGUUGUAAACCGCUUUCGCCUGUGACGAAGCGUGAGUGACGGUAAUGGGUAAAGAAGCACCGGCUAACUACGUG
rnacentral:rRNA from 1 species